rnacentral:tRNA from 1 species
GCCCGGGUUGGGUAGCGGCUAUCCCGGAGGCCUGUGGAGCCUCAGCUCGCGGGUUCGAUCCCCGCCCCGGGCC